rnacentral:rRNA from 2 species
AUGCAAGUCGAACGAGCUUCCGUUGAAUGACGUGCUUGCACUGAUUUCAACAAUGAAGCGAGUGGCGAACUGGUGAGUAACACGUGGGGAAUCUGCCCAGAAGCAGGGGAUAACACUUGGAAACAGGUGCUAAUACCGUAUAACAACAAAAUCCGCAUGGAUUUUGUUUGAAAGGUGGCUUCGGCUAUCACUUCUGGAUGAUCCCGCGGCGUAUUAGUUAGUUGGUGAGGUAAAGGCCCACCAAGACGAUGAUACGUAGCCGACCUGAGAGGGUAAUCGGCCACAUUGGGACUGAGACACGGCCCAAACUCCUACGGGAGGCAGCAGUAGGGAAUCUUCCACAAUGGACGAAAGUCUGAUGGAGCAAUGCCGCGUGAGUGAAGAAGGGUUUCGGCUCGUAAAACUCUGUUGUUAAAGAAGAACACCUUUGAGAGUAACUGUUCAAGGGUUGACGGUAUUUAACCAGAAAGCCACGGCUAACUACGUGCCAGCAGCCGCGGUAAUACGUAGGUGGCAAGCGUUGUCCGGAUUUAUUGGGCGUAAAGCGAGCGCAGGCGGUUUUUUAAGUCUGAUGUGAAAGCCUUCGGCUUAACCGGAGAAGUGCAUCGGAAACUGAGAGACUUGAGUGCAGAAGAGGACAGUGGAACUCCAUGUGUAGCGGUGGAAUGCGUAGAUAUAUGGAAGAACACCAGUGGCGAAGGCGGCUGUCUAGUCUGUAACUGACGCUGAGGCUCGAAAGCAUGGGUAGCGAACAGGAUUAGAUACCCUGGUAGUCCAUGCCGUAAACGAUGAGUGCUAAGUGUUGGAGGGUUUCCGCCCUUCAGUGCUGCAGCUAACGCAUUAAGCACUCCGCCUGGGGAGUACGACCGCAAGGUUGAAACUCAAAGGAAUUGACGGGGGCCCGCACAAGCGGUGGAGCAU